UUCACUUUUGGUCCCAAUUGAUGUUGAGUUCCUGAGUAUUGAGAGGUGCCACAAUUUCAAAACCUUGAGCUAUUUUUCAACACAGAAGAAUGAAAUUCUUUUUAAUUCAGGAAAAGAAAGCCUGGCAAUGACAUCAUCUUCUUUGCAUGCUACACCACAAUCAGUUCUUCCUAGUGCCUUUUCCAGUCUCACAGUUCUCGAAAUCCAUAGUUGUUCAAAUAUAAGGAGUCUGUUCAAACCUGGGUUGCUUCUACUACUUCAAAACCUUGGAGAGGUUGUUAUUUAUGACUGCCCACAAAUGAAGAAGUGAGUACUUGUUUUGGGAUUUGUAUCAUCCAUCUCAAGCAGCUUCUCAAUUGUUAGCUGACAGCCUCUACACUGGAGAUGCUAAGUAUAUGACACCAAUGAAUUUUAGUCAAUUGGCUGAUGUUCAAGUUCACAUCUAGGUUAUUUAUAUAAUGGCUAGAUAAUAAAUUUAAAUAAUUUCAAGAAAUUACAAAAUGUUGAUCUCUCUCUCUCUCUAGCACCUCUUUUGAGAGGAAGGCAGGUUGGAAUUGCUUCUUGGCCUGCUCAUAAUCAUCCAUUGGUUAUGUGUGAGUUACAAUUUCAUCUAAUAAAAAUACUUUUUCUUA